rnacentral:rRNA from 1 species
CGGCGGACGGGUGAGUAACGCGUGGACAACCUGCCCUAUGCAGGGGGAUAACAUCCGGAAACGGGUGCUAAUACCGCAUAAGCGCACAGUACCGCAUGGUACGGUGUGAAAAGCUGAGGCGGCAUAGGAUGGGUCCGCGUUGGAUUAGGCAGUUGGCGGGGUAACGCCCACCAAACCGACGAUCCAUAGCCGGCCUGAGAGGGUGGACGGCCACAUUGGGACUGAGACACGGCCCAGACUCCUACGGAAGGCAGCAG